UACAGAGGGUGCAAGCGUUGUUCGGAAUUAUUGGGCGUAAAGCGCGUGUAGGCGGCUUUGCAAGUCGGGUGUGAAAGCCCUCAGCUUAACCGAGGAAGUGCGCCCGAAACUGCAGAGCUUGAGUACCGGAGAGGAUGGCGGAAUUCCCCAAGUAGAGGUGAAAUUCGUAGAUAUGGGGAGGAACACCGGUGGCGAAGGCGGCCAUCUGGACGGAUACUGACGCUGAGACGCGAAAGCGUGGGGAGCAAACAGG
rnacentral:rRNA from 1 species